GGAUUCCCCUAGUAACUGCGAGUGAAGCGGGAAAAGCUCAAAUUUAAAAUCUGGCGGUCCUUGUGGCCGUCCGAGUUGUAAUCUGGAGAAGUGCUUUCCGCGCUGGACCGUGUACAAGUCUCUUGGAACAGAGCGUCGUAGAGGGUGAGAAUCCCGUCUUUGACACGGACUACCAGUGCUUUGUGAUGCGCUCUCAAAGAGUCGAGUUGUUUGGGAAUGCAGCUCAAAAUGGGUGGUAAAUUCCAUCUAAAGCUAAAUAUUGGCGAGAGACCGAUAGCGAACAAGUACCGUGAGGGAAAGAUGAAAAGAACUUUGGAAAGAGAGUUAAACAGUACGUGAAAUUGCUGAAAGGGAAACGCUUGAAGUCAGUCGCGUUGGCCGGGACUCAGCCUUGCUUCCGCUUGGUUUAUUUUCUGGUCGACGGGUCAGCAUCAGUUUUGAUCGUCGGACAAUGGCUGGGGGAAUGUGGCAUCUUCGGAUGUGUUAUAGCCCUCGGUCGCAUACGAUGGUUGGGACUGAGGAUCUCAGCACACCUUUAUGGUCGGGGUUCGCCCACGUUUGUGCUUAGGAUGCUGGCAUAAUGGCUUUAAACGACCCGUCUUGAAACACGGACCAAGGAGUCUAACAUGCAUGCGAGUGUUUGGGUGGAAAACCCGAGCGCGUAAUGAAAGUGAAAGUUGAGACCUCUGUCGUGGAGGGCAUCGACGCCCGGACCAGACCUUCUGUGACGGCCCUGCGGUAGAGCAUGUAUGUUGGGACCCGAAAGAUGGUGAACUAUGCCUGAAUAGGGUGAAGCCAGAGGAAACUCUGGUGGAGGCUCGUAGCGAUUCUGACGUGCAAAUCGAUCGUCAAAUUUGGGUAUAGGGGCGAAA
rnacentral:rRNA from 1 species